CUGGACGGUCAUAGGGGCUUGGUUCACCCGUUCCCAUCCCGAACACGGAUUGAGCUUUGGAGCUCGGCUCGCGUGAGAGUUAAGCAAGCCUCCGUUUCUAGUAGUACUGCACUCCGUGCGGGAAGCUAGAAAAGCUGUCCACC
rnacentral:rRNA from 1 species